AGCUAAAAAUCUAGCCUUAUAUUUCCCUAAUAAAAACCCCUUCUCCCAUUAUAACCAAAUUAAAACAUUUUUUAAACUUAGUAAAGGAGAUUAAAAAGUUUCUUAGAGCUAUAAUAAUUGUACCGCAAGGGAAAGAUGAAAUAAAAAUGAAAUAAAAUUAAAGCAAUAAAAAGUAGAGCUUUACUCUCGUACCUUUUGCAUCAUGGUUCAACUAGUAUAAUCAAGCAAAAAGAAUUAAAGUUUGACCCCCCGAAACUAAGUGAGCUACUUCAGGGCAGCUUAAUGAGCCAACCCGUCUCUGUUGCAAAAGAGUGGGAUGACCCUCAAGUAGAGGUGAUAGACCUAACGAACUUAGUGAUAGCUGGUUAUUCAGGAAAAGAAUAUUAGUUCAACUUAAAAUUAUAAAAAUUAUCAAAAAUAAAACUUCAAUUUUAAAGCAAUUCAAACAAGGUACAGCCUGUUUGAAAUAGGACACAACCUCUACUAAUGGGUAAAUUAAUAGAAAUUAUAAUUAAGUAGGCCUAAAAGCAGCCACCUUUAAAAUAGCGUCAAAGCUUAUCUAUAUUUUCUCUCUAAUAACAUUAUUUAUUAUAAACCCUUUACCUUUACUGAAUAUUUCUAUAAAACUAUAGAAUUUUUUAUGUUGAAACUAGUAACAAGAAGUUAAACUUCUCUUUAAUGUAAGCAUAAUUCGGAUAGGAUAAACCACCGACAAUUAACGCCUUGAACCUAAAAUAAUAACUCUACAUGAAAACUUUAUUGCACCUGACGUUAACCUUACACCAGAACAUUUAAAGAAAGAUUCCAAAAAAAGGAAGGAACUCGGCAAACAUUAACCCCGCCUGUUUACCAAAAACAUCGCCUUCUGCUUCACCAUAGAAGGUCCAGCCUGCCCAGUGAACUAAUUCAACGGCCGCGGUAUCCUAACCGUGCGAAGGUAGCGUAAUCACUUGUUCUUUAAAUGAGGACUAGUAUGAAUGGCAUCACGAAGGUUAUACUGUCUCCCUUUUUUUAUCAGUUAAACUAAUCUUCCCGUGAAGAAGCGGGAAUAAUUUUAUAAGACGAGAAGACCCUAUGGAGCUUUAAAUUACGCAACAAACGCUACAUUUUAAUCAUUUUAAGAAUAAUUAUAUAUUUAAGCAUUAUGAUUGCCAAUUUUUGGUUGGGGUGACCGCGGAGUAAAAAAUAACCUCCACAAUGAAAGGAAAUUUUUCCUGAAUCAAGAAAUACAAUUCUAAAUACCAACAACUUGACAUUCUUUGACCCAAUUUAUUGAUCAACGAACAAAGUUACCCUAGGGAUAACAGCGCAAUCCAUUUCAAGAGCUCCUAUCGACAAAUGGGUUUACGACCUCGAUGUUGGAUCAGGAUGUCCCAGUGGUGUA
rnacentral:rRNA from 1 species